AGCUAGUUGGUGGGGUAAAGGCCUACCAAGGCUUCGAUCAGUAGCUGGUCUGAGAGGAUGAUCAGCCACAUUGGGACUGAGACACGGCCCAGACUCCUACGGGAGGCAGCAGUGGGGAAUAUUGCGCAAUGGGCGAAAGCCUGACGCAGCAACGCCGCGUGGAGGAUGAAGGCUUUCGGGUUGUAAACUCCUUUCAGCAGGGACGAAACUGACGGUACCUGCAGAAGAAGCCCCGGCUAACUACGUGCCAGCAGCCGCGGUGAGACGUAGGGGGCAAGCGUUGUCCGGAUUUAUUGGGCGUAAAGAGCUCGUAGGCGGCUUGGCAAGCCGGAUGUGAAAUCUCCAGGCUUAACCUGGAGUCGCCAUCCGAUACUGCUAUGGCUAGAGUCCGGUAGAGGAUCGUGGAAUUCCUGGUGUAGCGGUGAAAUGCGCAGAUAUCAGGAGGAACACCAACGGCGAAGGCAGCGAUCUGGGCCGGUACUGACGCUGA
rnacentral:rRNA from 1 species